rnacentral:rRNA from 1 species
AACGAACGCUGGCGGCAUGCCUAACACAUGCCAGUCGAACGAGACCUUCGGGUCUAGUGGCGCACGGGUGCGUAACGCGUGGGAACCUGCCCUUAGGUUCGGAAUAACUCCCCGAAAGGGGUGCUAAUACCGGAUAAUGUCUUCGGACCAAAGAUUUAUCGCCUUUGGAUGGGCCCGCGUUGGAUUAGCUAGUUGGUAGGGUAAAAGUCUACCAAGGCGACGAUCCAUAGCUGGUCUGAGAGGAUGAUCAGCCACACUGGGACUGAGACACGGCCCAGACUCCUACGGGAGGCAGCAGUGGGGAAUAUUGGACAAGGGGCGAAAGCCUGAUCCAGCAAGGCCGCGUGAGUGAUGAAGGCCUUAGGGUUGUAAAGCUCUUUUACCCGGGAUGAUAAUGACAGUACCGGGAGAAUAAGCUCCGGCUAACUCCGUG